UACGAAGGGUCCAAGCGUUGUUCGGAAUCAUUGGGCGUAAAGCGCGCGCAGGCGGAUCAGAAAGUCAGAUGUGAAAUCUCGAAGCUCAACUUCGAAACUGCGUCUGAAACUUCUAGUCUAGAGUGUCGGAGGGGGUAGGGGAAUUUCACGUGUAGGGGUAAAAUCCGUAGAGAUGUGAAGGAACGACCGGAGGCGAAGGCGCCUACCUGGACGACUACUGACGCUGAGGCGCGAAAGCGUGGGGGAGCAAACAGG
rnacentral:rRNA from 1 species